GGGUGCGUAGCUCAGUGGUAGAGCGGAUGUCUUAUACACAUCUGGUCACAGGUUCAAAUCCUGUCGCACCCA
rnacentral:tRNA from 1 species